CACGUCUGAGCAGCUCCCAGGACAUGCUGACACUCGGGGUCAAUGGAGCGCCAGCCUCGAAUCGCAAGGCUCUGUGAGAUUCGGGACACCCCUGCGUGGCCCGUGCUCAGGGACAGCUUGGACAGACUGCAAACAGGCAGCACAGACGGGGCGGUACAGGAAGCCCUGGGGAAGCCUCGGGAUUCCUGGCAGCAGAUAAGGACCAGGUAGCCUCCCGCGUCAUGUUACCAAAAUCCCGUUUUGAAAAGAACAGCAAGAAGCUUACCUUGAGCCGCUAUGAAUUUAUUCUUCUCCUUGUAACCCUAGAAACAUAAAAUCAGGUUUGUAAUUCUUCCUCGUUUUCUUGGCUGAAGGCAUUUGCUGUUGUUGUUUGGAAAGUAACGCGUAUCAACCACGAGAAAGUUGGAAAACACAGAAAGAAGAAGAAAACUCACUAGUCCUUUCGGAGCCAGUGCUACUUUUGUUGGCCCCGCCGUAGAUUUUUCCUGUGAAUACUUUCCCAGUCGCACACGCACACACACAAGCAGAAACACGUUCAGAUACUUUUAACUGCAUUAAACACGGCAUCUGACACGACCGGGUCUUGCGUGGCGAUCACCGGGACAGAGGACGCGUCCUUUUCAAUGUCCUCAUGAGACCCUCUGUGUCAUGAGGAUGGGAAUACACCUGUUUCACUGAAUGAGCACUGCAUCUCAGCACUGAGGACAGUGCCCGGCCCUAACCAGGUGUCUGGUAAGACCUGUGGGCUGACAGCAGAGGCAUGAAUUUCAGCGUCCAGGAGUGGGGGCUGCUGGGCCUCACAUAGAAACAGAACAGCAGCAUGUGCUGGGGCCCCGCAGUGAGAUCACCAUAUUCUCCGAAACCCCAGCUGGGCCCCCGUCUUAACAAGGCCCUUGCGCACUGAGGAGAGCCCCGGACGGAAGGGCUGGGGUCCACGCUCCCGGGCUUUCCAGGGAAGGGACAAGCCGACUCCACACCCCGAUCCCCAUCCUUCCAGUCGGCCCUAGGGCUGGAAGGUGGGCAGAACUCACGCUGACCUGAGCUGGGCCUGGCGGGCCACCUGCCUGGAAGAUUCUGGCCUGUUGUACAAGCAACUCUCUAGUGAGGGGGCUGACCACAGAGAGCUCUGUGUGGGUGUGUGAUGUGUGCUUCCUCUGUGUGGGGGCGGGUGGUGUGCAGGUGUGCGUGGCAGGUGGGGGUGCGGUGUGUGUUUCCUCUGUGUGAGUGGGUCUGGCGUGUAUGUGUUUGUGGAGGGUGUGUGUGUGUGUGUGUGUGCGCACAUUUGGGGAAGUUUCAACCAGGGCCCCCACUGUGACCUUGGUGGGUCCUUGUCACUCCUGCCUUCAUGGCCCCUUCCUCCAUAAAAGAAAAAAGUAAACAUUUUAUUUUACAACUGUGUUAUUAGUUAGUAUAAAGCUUACCGUAACCAGACUGGAUUAUGGUGUUGUUUUUGUUUUUGUUUUUCUGAUUUUAAAGGAAAUCAGAUGGUGUCAUGGGCCCUUCAAAGCGUCAUGGCCCCGAGCCUGGGUCUCCUACUUCUAGCUGCACAACAGCUAUCAGAAAUACUGAGGAUGGAUGGCCAGACCGGGCCCAGGGCCAGGGUCAAGAGUCAAAGCUGCUCCCGGGGUGGUUCACACCACCCCGGGCACGGGGCUUGGGACAGAGUGAGCACUCUAGUAGAGGAUGCUGUCUCCCUACCAGUCACCAAGCUUUUCCGAAGCCCAGCCUCAUGGACAGGCCAGGCAUCUUGUUCUCUGUCAUCCAAGCUCCCUAGAGCCAUUUCCAUGCCUGGGUCGAGGGGUUUCUUAAAAAUCUAGUAAAUUUAGGGGUGCCUGAGUGGCUCAGUCGGUUAACCAGCAGACUCUUGAUUUCAGCUCAGGUCAU